AAAAUAUAAAAAAUAUAUUUGGAAAUUUUUUAAUUAUUUUUAAAAUUACCAAAAAUUAUUCCGCCAAUAUUAUUGGAAAUUGGAUUUGCAAAUAAAUUAGUUAAAAAAAAGGAAAUUUUAAAAAAAUACCAUUUACUAUUUCCAAAAAUUAAAAACCGACCAAAAUUCAAAAUUAUAUUAUUAAACGAAUUUACGAAAAUACAAUUAAUAUAUAUUAUAAACCGAAAUACGUAAAUAAAAUAAUUGACCAAUUAAAUAUUACGUAAAAAUAUUUAUUUUAUUCAAUAAAAAAAGAUUUAAAAAAUUUAUCGGAAAAAUUAAAUUUUAAACAAAAUUGGAAUUCGGAAAAAACAAUUUAAAAAAUAUUUUAAAAAAAUUUCGGCCGAUCGCCGCCGUUUUUUUUAUUUUACUUUUUUUCGUUCCAUAUAAUCCAAUUUUUCCAAAUUAGUAAUACCGCGAAAUACAAUUUGCAUUAUUUUUUCGAAUUAUAUCCGUUUUUAUUUUCGGAACCGUUUAAUUUUUAUAUUAAUUUAACAACGUAUUUUUUCCGCAAUUUUUAUUUUAAAUUUUAUUUGGGCGUAUUAAAAACCAAUAUUUCAAAUUUUCGCGGAAAAAAAACCCAAAAUAUUAUAAUUAAAAUAAUUAAAACGCAAAUAUUUUACGUAACGAAAUAAAUCCUGAAACAAAACCAAAUAUUUAAUUAUCCUACAGAAUUUAUAUAAAAGAUAGGAAAAUAUUUCCAUUGCAAACGUUAAAAAGGAAAAAAAACGAAAUAAUAUUCCGUUAAUAAAUAAUUAAAUUUCGAUUUAAUUACGCGAUUAAAUAUAACGUAAAAGAAUUAAUUAAAAAAAAACAAAAUUAAAAAUAAGAAUUAAAAAAAUAUAAAAUAUUCAAAACCAAAGGGAUUUGGUUAAAAAGAAACAAUUUAAUAUUAUAAUUAAAUAAUUGGCCCGGUAUUAAAAAGACCAGGCGGGGUUAUACCCCUUUUAACGAUAUUUAUUUAAAAAGAACACCGACCGACAAAAUAUUAAUUAUUUAAAAAAAAAUUACGUAACGCCACGUAAUUAAUAAAAAAAUAGUUUUAAUAAUUUUUUGAAAUUAUAAUAAAUUAAAAAAAAAUAGUUUCACUAAUUUAAUAAAAUUAGGAAAAUUAUACGUAAAAUAUAAUUUAUAUAAAAUACAUUUAUUAUUAUAUAAAUAAAUUCAAUUUUAAACUUAUUUAGCAGCAAUUAAA
rnacentral:sRNA from 1 species